UACGAAGGAUCCAAGCGUUAUCCGGAUUUAUUGGGUUUAAAGGGUGCGUAGGUGGACUAUUAAGUCAGUGGUGAAAGCUUCCCGCUUAACGGGAAAAUUGCCAUUGAUACUGAUGGUCUUGAGUGCAUUUGAAGUGGGCGGAAUGUGUCGUGUAGUGGUGAAAUACUUAGAUAUGACACAGAACACCGAUUGCGAAGGCAGCUCACUAAACUGUAACUGACACUGAGGCACGAAAGCGUGGGGAUCAAACAGG
rnacentral:rRNA from 2 species